rnacentral:rRNA from 1 species
UACGAAGGGGGCUAGCGUUGUUCGGAAUCAUUGGGCGUAAAGAGCGUGUAGGCGGCUUGGCAAGUCUGACGUGAAAGCCCGCGGCUCAACCGCGGAUUGUCGUUGGAAACUGCCUCGCUAGAGUCCGGAAGAGGAGAGCGGAAUUCCUGGUGUAGCGGUGGAAUGCGCAGAUAUCAGGAGGAACACCGAUGGCGAAGGCAGGUCUCUGGGCCACUACUGGACGCUGAGAAGCGAAAGCAUGGGGAGCAAACAGGG